UACGAGUGCUUCAAGCGUUGUCCGGAAUCAUUGGGCGUAAAGGGUGCGUAGGCGGCUGUGUUAGUCUCGUCUUAAAUCUAUCGGCUCAACCGGUAGGCUGGAUGGGAAACGGCACGGCUUGAGGACGGGAGAGGUCUCUGGAACUCAUGGUGUAGCGGUGAAAUGCGUUGAUAUCAUGGGGAACACCAAAAGCGAAGGCAAGAGACUGGCCCGCUCCUGACGCUGAAGCACGAAAGCGUGGGUCGCGAAUGGG
rnacentral:rRNA from 1 species